UACGUAGGGUGCAAGCGUUAUCCGGAAUUAUUGGGCGUAAAGAGCUCGUAGGUGGUUUGUCGCGUUGUCCGUGAAAACUCACAACUCAAUUGUGGGCGUGCGGGCGAUACGGGCAGACUGGAGUACUGCAGGGGAGACUGGAAUUCCUGGUGUAGCGGUGGAAUGCGCAGAUAUCAGGAGGAACACCGGUGGCGAAGGCGGGUCUCUGGGCAGUAACUGACGCUGAGGAGCGAAAGCGUGGGGAGCGAACAGG
rnacentral:rRNA from 1 species